ACAGCAGCAAUGCAUGGACGUGCAUUUAGAAUGCUUACCAUUAAACAAAAGCAGCAAAGCAAGAAGUCCUUUACUUUGCUACCAUGGAAGGAUACUAAGGAAGGCAAAGGCAAAGUUGGAGAAGUGACCUUGUUUCUAUUACCUUCUGGAUAUGAUCUUUUAUAUUCCCAUUAAUGGCUUCCAAUUCUGGUCUCUUCCUAAGAUAAACAGCAGGAAGUGUCUUGCUCUGAAUCCUGCCAUCACUCUUCAAAAAUUCUUUUGUGCUUAUUUCUGGCAGCCAGUUAUUUCAGAUCAUAAAACAGUCUUUUGUUUCUUCCUACCCCUUAGUGAUUGCACUGCAUUUAAGUCAAAAUACCUUAGAUUUAGUGCUAUUACCUAACCAAUGCAAAUCAAAACUCCCAUUAUACAUGUGGCAUGAGAAUUAUUUAAGAUAAAUCCAUUGUUAACCAAUCUAGUGAUAAUUUCCUCCAAACUUAGCUAUGUUGGUCCUGACAAAAAGUGCCCCAGGGCCCAUGUUUCAAACCUAUGAAAGCUUGUUUUGUUGACAACCUUCAAGAAUCCAGUCACCACACCAUGAGGUACCAGAGGACUUUAAUGGAGGCAUUACCCAUACCAAGUAUUUAUUUCUUAACAUAAGGUAUAGGGAUUGGACCUAUUAAUUUCAUGCUUCCUUUUAGCUGGAACAAGUUACACAGUUCUAUUCGGCACACACCAAAUUCACUAGA